GAGGGUGUAGCUCAGUGGUAGAGCACAUGCGUAGCAGGCACAAGGUCCUGGGUUCAAUCCCUGGUACCUCCA
rnacentral:tRNA from 1 species